CGGGAAACCCGGAGCUUAUACCGGAUAAUAUUGUGAACCGCAUGGUUCAAAAGUGAAAAGACGGUCUUGCUGUCACUGUAUAGAUGGAUCCCGCCCCUGCAUUAGCUACUUUGGUAAGGUACGGCUUACCAAGGCAACGAUGCAUAGCCGACCUGAGAGGUGAUCGGCCACACUGGAACUGAGACACGGUCCAGACUCCUACGGGAGGCAGCAGUAGGGAAUCUUCCGCAAUGGGCGAAAGCCUGACGGAGCAACGCCGCGUGAGUGAUGAAGGUCUUCGGAUCGUAAAACUCUGUUAUUAGGGAAGAACAUAUGUGUAAGUAACUGUGCACAUCUUGACGGUACCUAAUCAGAAAGCCACGGCUAACUACGUGCCAGCAGCCGCGGUAAUACGUAGGUGGCAAGCGUUAUCCGGAAUUAUUGGGCGUAAAGCGCGCGUAGGCGGUUUUUUAAGUCUGAUGUGAAAGCCCACGGCUCAACCGUGGAGGGUCAUUGGAAACUGGAAAACUUGAGUGCAGAAGAGGAAAGUGGAAUUCCAUGUGUAGCGGUGAAAUGCGCAGAGAUAUGGAGGAACACCAGUGGCGAAGGCGACUUUCUGGUCUGUAACUGACGCUGAUGUGCGAAAGCGUGGGGAUCAAACAGGAUUAGAUACCCUGGUAGUCCACGCCGUAAACGAUGAGUGCUAAGUGUUAGGGGGUUUCCGCCCCUUAGUGCUGCAGCUACGCAUUAAGCACUCCGCCUGGGGAGUACG
rnacentral:rRNA from 1 species